ACGAACGCUGGCGGCGUGCCUAAUACAUGCAAGUAGAACGCUGAAGAGAGGAGCUUGCUCUUCUUGGAUGAGUUGCGAACGGGUGAGUAACGCGUAGGUAACCUGCCUUGUAGCGGGGGAUAACUAUUGGAAACGAUAGCUAAUACCGCAUAACAAUGGAUGACACAUGUCAUUUAUUUGAAAGGGGCAAUUGCUCCACUACAAGAUGGACCUGCGUUGUAUUAGCUAGUAGGUGAGGUAACGGCUCACCUAGGCGACGAUACAUAGCCGACCUGAGAGGGUGAUCGGCCACACUGGGACUGAGACACGGCCCAGACUCCUACGGGAGGCAGCAGUAGGGAAUCUUCGGCAAUGGGGGCAACCCUGACCGAGCAACGCCGCGUGAGUGAAGAAGGUUUUCGGAUCGUAAAGCUCUGUUGUAAGUCAAGAACGAGUGUGAGAGUGGAAAGUUCACACUGUGACGGUAGCUUACCAGAAAGGGACGGCUAACUACGUGCCAGCAGCCGCGGUAAUACGUAGGUCCCGAGCGUUGUCCGGAUUUAUUGGGCGUAAAGCGAGCGCAGGCGGUUUGAUAAGUCUGAAGUUAAAGGCUGUGGCUCAACCAUAGUUCGCUUUGGAAACUGUCAAACUUGAGUGCAGAAGGGGAGAGUGGAAUUCCAUGUGUAGCGGUGAAAUGCGUAGAUAUAUGGAGGAACACCGGUGGCGAAAGCGGCUCUCUGGUCUGUAACUGACGCUGAGGCUCGAAAGCGUGGGGAGCGAACAGGAUUGGAAGCCCUGGUAGUCCACGCCGUAAACGAUGAGUGCUAGGUGUUGGAUCCUUUCCGGGAUUCAGUGCCGCAGCUAACGCAUUAAGCACUCCGCCUGGGGAGUACGACCGCAAGGUUGAAACUCAAAGGAAUUGACGGGGGCCCGCACAAGCGGUGGAGCAUGUGGUUUAAUUCGAAGCAACGCGAAGAACCUUACCAGGUCUUGACAUCCCGAUGCUAUUUCUAGAGAUAGAAAGUUACUUCGGUACAUCGGUGACAGGUGGUGCAUGGUUGUCGUCAGCUCGUGUCGUGAGAUGUUGGGUUAAGUCCCGCAACGAGCGCAACCCCUAUUGUUAGUUGCCAUCAUUCAGUUGGGCACUCUAGCGAGACUGCCGGUAAUAAACCGGAGGAAGGUGGGGAUGACGUCAAAUCAUCAUGCCCCUUAUGACCUGGGCUACACACGUGCUACAAUGGUUGGUACAACGAGUUGCGAGUCGGUGACGGCAAGCUAAUCUCUUAAAGCCAAUCUCAGUUCGGAUUGUAGGCUGCAACUCGCCUACAUGAAGUCGGAAUCGCUAGUAAUCGCGGAUCAGCACGCCGCGGUGAAUACGUUCCCGGGCCUUGUACACACCGCCCGUCACACCACGAGAGUUUGUAACACCCGAAGUCGGUGAGGUAACCUUUUGGAGCCAGCCGCCUAAGGUGGGAUAGAUGAUUGGGGUG
rnacentral:rRNA from 1 species